AUGACACAGCCUCCAAUAGAACUUUCUGUGAUAAUAGAAAUGUUCUAUGUCCACACCCCCCAAUAGGAUAGCCUACUUGAAAUGUGGUUAGUGUGAUUGAAUACUGAUUUUGGAGUUGUAUUUAACUGUAAUUAAUUUAAAUAAAAUUUAAAUAGCCACAUGUGGCUAAUGGCUACCACAUUGGACAGCAGAGUUCUCUGGGAAUUCGCCAACACUGAAAGCACCAUCUCCAAUGGCUGGAUUUGUUUUUGAUUUUGCUUCCUCUAAGUUCAUGUUGGACGGAUAAUGUGCUGACAUCGUAACAAGGUUUGAGGGUGAUACAUCUCACACACGCAUGCGUGAGCACCCAAUUAUCAUGCUUAUGAACUGCAAUUAUCAGCUUAUGGCUAGAUUUGAAGCAGAGACACAUAGCUAUGCUUGACCUAAGGUUGGCUUUUCACUCACAAUUAAUUACUCACCUAAUCAUUUACUCAGUAAAUGCCCACUGAAUACCUACUAUUUUCCAGGCACUUGCUAAAAUCUGGAAGCAAAAUAGAAAGCAACACAUAUCUGGCCCUUCCAUUUCUAAAGGGGUUGGUAGGUUAGAUACUUAAGCAAUCCUGCCCAAAUGAAAGAACUCAAAUGCAGGAUAAAAUAUUUUGAGUAACAGCUUUUUUAAAGCCAUCGCUGGGUUGGCACAAAUACAAGAAUCUACAGAUCCCCAAAAGGAGGAAAAGCCAGACAGACACCAAAGAGAAGCUGACCUCUCUUUGUUCCUGGUUUCUUUGAAGAUCUUCUCUUGGCUUUUGAUGGUCCACAGUUUUACUAUCAUGUAUUCUUCAGAUACACCAUCAUAUGUCCAGAAUCCCUUGAGGCCUGGGUUGAAGAAAGAACAAUGCCAUGGCGAGGUACUCAGAGCUGAGGGAGGAAGAUUGCUGCAGCCUGUGAGCUAAGCCGAAAGAAUAUCCCGGGCUUCUUUGGGAUCCGAUGUGGACUUGGUCCCGCUGCAGGGAGAAAAUGUACUGCUCAGGCCGACGUGAGGAUCCAAUCCACUCAACAGUUACAUGCCACGAUGUAAAUUAAUAAAUUCGCAUUCUGAUUUUAUCAUCUGCCUCAUCUGAGGUCUAUAGGCGUGAGUCAGCAUCCCCUAGUUUAAUCAACAUGGACACUGAGACUAUCAAGCUUUUGAGUUGAAAAGCUAAGAACUAGACCCAGGACCACAGUGAAAUCACCAAGUCCCAGGUAUGUCUUUAUCAGCAGUGUGAAAACGGACUAAUACACAAGUCUUAGGUUGACUGUGACCCUGGAAGGCAUCUUGACUGCAGCCUCAUGAAGGAUCCUGAGCCAGAGCCAUCUAGCCAAACCACUGAAUUCCUGCCCUACAGAAACCGUAAGAAAAAAUGAGGAAAUCCAAGCUCAGAAUGGAUAAUUCACCUAAGGAAAUACAGAUGGAAAAUGGCGGAGCUGCAAUCUAAACCCAGGUCCAUCUGAUAAUAAAGCCCAGGCUCUCCUCAACCAGGAUGCUUCCAGUGAGACGCCAUGCUCCCUCCCUGUGUGGAGGGAGCCUUUCUCUACCUCGAGAAAAUACUGAAUGAAAAGCAAUGGCACCAGAAGUUUCUAGAAGUUACUUAUAUGGCAAGUCCAAGUAUUUGAGAACACAUUUGAGAUUCAGGAAGGAGGCAAAAAGGCUUCUGCCGAGCAGUCAAAAUGACAAAGUUUGUAAACUUCGCUUUAUUUGGGUCCCUGCUCAAAGUCUACCUACUGUUUAAAAAAAAAAAAAAAAAAGGGAACACGCUAUUAACACUGUUCUGCACACUGUAUUUUUCAGUUAACAACUGGUGAGUAUUCCCUUUUAGCGCACAUAGAUCUACCUCAUUCGCUUAAGGACUGUGUAGUGCUGCAUUGUGUGAACGCACCAAAUGGUAUUUAUCCCGCAUUCUCUAUACAGACAUUUUAGACACUUACAAGGGUUGGGGCUCAGAAAGUGAUACUCCAAAGACUGAUGUUUUGACAUGCUGAGAGCCCUCAGAAGCCACCUCCAAAUCAAGGUCCCUCUAACUUCUUAUUCCCCAUACCGGCCCCACUACCAAGCACAGGGAGGGAUUGUCUCUGUCUUUGGAAAUUUCCUCAUCUGACUGAGAAAGUGUCUUUCCAAAAGAAAUGCAAUUGUCUUAAACAGCCUCCCUAGAGGUCUCAUCAAAUAACCAAGAAAGAUAAACCACCAGAAGAGAUGAGACUGUGAAUCAUCACCACACCCAGACAGACUUCAUCUAUUCUUCUGAGGGCAGCUCCAAGAGAUUGCCUGGAGGACUUUAUCUGCUUAAUAAGACAACCUUUGUUCCUGUGCAGCUCCGCCCCUCACCUUCCUGUAAUGUCUGCCUCCCACCUCCCCAAUCCAUACAUCUCCUCCCUCCUGUAUGAAAAAGGGUGCACAAGCUUCUGUGCCCCAUUGGGUUAUUGGGUAAUCAUUGUCUUGUGAUUCCCCUGUGCCAUGCACACUAAAAUAAAAUUUUUUAUGCCUUUUCUCCUAUC